GAUGAACGCUGGCGGCGUGCCUAAUACAUGCAAGUCGAGCGAACGGACGAGAAGCUUGCUUCUCUGAUGUUAGCGGCGGACGGGUGAGUAACACGUGGAUAACCUACCUAUAAGACUGGGAUAACUUCGGGAAACCGUAGCUAAUACCGGAUAAUAUUUUGAACCGCAUGGUUCAAAAGUGAAAGACGGUCUUGCUGUCACUUAUAGAUGGAUCCGCGCUGCAUUAGCUAGUUGGUAAGGUAACGGCUUACCAAGGCAACGAUGCAUAGCCGACCUGAGAGGGUGAUCGGCCACACUGGAACUGAGACACGGUCCAGACUCCUACGGGAGGCAGCAGUAGGGAAUCUUCCGCAAUGGGGGAAAGCCUGACGGAGCAACGCCGCGUGAGUGAUGAAGGUCUUCGGAUCGUAAAACUCUGUUAUUAGGGAAGAACAUAUGUGUAAGUAACUGUGCACAUCUUGACGGUACCUAAUCAGAAAGCCACGGCUAACUACGUG
rnacentral:rRNA from 1 species